rnacentral:rRNA from 1 species
GACGAACGCUGGCGGCGUGCUUAACACAUGCAAGUCGAACGGAAAGACCCUGCUUUUGUGGGGUGCUCGAGUGGCGAACGGGUGAGUAACACGUGAGUAACCUGCCCUUGACUUUGGGAUAACUUCAGGAAACUGGGGCUAAUACCGGAUAGGAGCUCCUGCUGCAUGGUGGGGGUUGGAAAGUUUCGGCGGUGGUGGAUGGACUCGCUGGUUAUGAGCUUGUUUGGGGAGUAGGGGCUUACCAAGCCUGUGACGGGUAGCCGGCAUGAGAGGGGGGACGGCCACCAUGGUACUGAGAGAGGGACCAGAAGCCUACGGGAGGCAGCAGGGGGGAACAUGGCGCAAUGGGCGGACGCCUGAUGCAGCAACGCCGCGUGCGGGAUGACGGCCUUCGGGUUGUAAACCGCUUUCGCCGGUGACGAAGCGUGAGUGACGGUAAUGGGUAAAGAAGCACCGGCUAACUACGUG